UUUUGAUCCUGCCAGUAUUAUAUGCUGAUGUUAAAGAUUAAGCCAUGCAUGUGUAAGUUUAAAGACCAAGUAGGAUGAAACUGCGGACGGCUCAUUAUAACAGUAAUAGUUUCUUUGGUUAGUCGGUACAAGGAUAACUUUGUGAAUGAUAAAGCUAAUACUUGAGACGAUCCGGGGAGUAUUUAUACUUUCUGGCCCCUGGCCGCGAGGUUGGGGAGAAACGACAUUCUCUUGUGAAAAAGGAUGCCGCGACAAUUGAGGAAAGCGACGCUUUUAACAAGUAACCAAUGGGAAUUUCUGAUCUAUCAAUUUGUUGGUAGUAUCGAGGACUACCAAGAUUAUAACGGAUAACGAGGAAUUGGGGUUCGACAUCGGAGAGGGAGCUUUACAGAUGGCUACCACUUCUAAGGAAGGCAGCAGGCGCGUAAAUUACCCACUUUCGACCGAAGAGGUAGUGACGACAAAUAACUCUUGGCGCCCCUCGGGGUGACUUGAAGGAAUGAUUUAGAAGUAAAUUCUCUAAAGAAAUCAAUGGAGACAAGUCUGCCACCCCCCC
rnacentral:rRNA from 1 species